GUUUUCAAGCUGAAAUCAGCAAGAGAAAAAAAGAAACUGGAUAAAAAGAAUAUCAGAGGAUGUCUGGAGAGGAGCAUCAUUAUUCUAAGGCUCAGGCUGGUAAACUCAGGAACUGACUUUUCAGUUACUGUUCCUCGUAGCCACGCUCCAGUAGCCUGUUUCUGAUGUGAGGAGUCUCUCCAAGCAUUUCCUGAUGUAAACUUCUGGCCCAGUCAACAGUAUUUGUUUCCAUACCCUGCAAAGCCUCUGGAAAAAAAGAGUGUCUCUUAGAAUGUUUAUGUCAGACUAUUUGCUGAUAGUUAUCAGCAGUUGUGAAGUCACCACAUUUCCGUCAAGAGGAGCCAAAUAAUGAAUCUCAUGUACACAUGGGACAAGGCUGCCGCUUUACCUUGAUCCAGAAGAGUGAAGGCCACUACAUAAAUGUACACAGGAUAAAAGAAAAUGUAAAAUAAUGGGUUCUGCUGAAGUGUGUCUACAUGCUGACCCUCCAAGAGUGUUUCUGCUUUUUGAUUUAGCAAUAAUAUUCUUGGAAAUCUCAAGGAUAAUAAUUGAAGUCUGGCUCGAAGGUGAAUGGAAGGGACAGAAGAGGAAUAAUGAAGAAUCAGGAGACAAGGAAAGUACCCAUCAUGUGGGUAAUCAUGCAGGGAAUGCUAAUGCUGGUAGGUAUGUGUGGGAAUUGAGGAAGAAAAGGCUGUUAGGCAUUUUUAUGAAACCUUUGUGUAUGUCUUAGACAAAGGUGAUAAAAGACCAAUUGAGAAUGCCAGCUGAGAAGAGUUUCUAAAAAGUGACCUCAUUCAUUUAUUCCUUUAUUCAGCAGAGAUGUUCUGGGUAUCAUUAUGAACAAGGUACUUUAGGUAAUAAGAUAUAAAACACCAAGUCCUUGGCUCUCAAAAAGUGUCUGGUCAUCAUAGGUACAUAAUCUAUUAUGUUACUGCAUGCCAUCUCCCAUACGUGUCUCCCCUUGAGAAAUUGCUUUUUGAAUUUAGUACCAAGAAAGCCUUGUCUCUUGUGAGAAAAUGGUCUAUAUCCUCUUUUUAGAUAUGAGAAUUUUGUAACUUAUCAUGUUUCUAUUUCUAUCCUGUGAAUAAGCUGGGGUUCUAGGUUACAAAUCACAGUAAUCAAUUCUAGCCAUCUUAGGCAGAAAAGAAGAAUUUGUUGAAAGGAUAUUUAAAUCAAAAGAUAUACAUUCUGACUUGCUCAGGGGCAUCGGACAAGUCAUUUAUCCUUUUCAGACUUGACUUGUCACUUAGGGAAUGUCAUACAAUCAGAGGGGAGCUCCCCAAAUAGAUGGAAUGCUCAGAGACCAAGUUUGGAAAAUAGAUAGGUAUGAAAGGCACUCUGGAAAGUAAGGCCAAAAAAACUGGCUCUCACACUGUUGGACAAAGGUGAGUAACAUGUCCUACUGUCCCUAUGAUAUUGUGUCACUCUUUCAAGAUUCGAGUCCUGAGAGAACCUUCUGAUGGGCUGGGCUUUGGUUUGGGAAGCUAGUCCCUUUGAUGUUCAUAGUGGAGGGAUAGCCACUCUGAAGAUUAAGGAGAGUGUCUCUAAAAGGAAGAUCAAUGAGUUAAUAGAAAGGAUGGUUGGGUGCUGGAUAGCAAACAAAAAUGGAUUGCAGGAAACACAGAGUCAAAUUGAUGUUCUAAUGCAGAAGCGCUAUCAACUCUUAUAAGGAGCUUAUUUAUUCUUCUUGCCUUGGUUCCAAUUUUUCCUUCCUUUCCCUUUUAUUAUUC
ensembl:lncRNA